ensembl:lncRNA
CUGGUGCCAUGCUCUUGAACUUCUCAACCUCCAGAACUGUAAGCCAAAUAAACUUUUAUUCUUUAUAAUUUACUAAGCCUGUGGCAUUCUGUUGUAGCAGCAAAAAAUGGACUAACAGAGAGACCUUAAGCAGUUAGCAAAUUUGCUUAAAUUUUUUUUUUUUCAGAACUGUAUAAUUACUUUUAUUUUUAAUGUCAAGAAUGUGUAAUAUAAGGGCCAGAGCCUCCUCCUGGACUCAAUUUUAUAAAUUCUCAAUUGGUUGGUGAGGCCAAUAGGGAUACUUUUGCUUGUCCAAUUUGGUUUCUGGGAAAGCUUCGUUCAAGUCCUCAAUGGUCAUCUGCUCAAAUGGAAUUAAGUUCUUAUACUUCUCCAUCUUUUUCUCAUAUUCUACAACCCUGGCCUUUGAGACACCCACUCAGCACAAGACUUCACAUCUUCUUUUUCUUCAGCAUCCACCAGGGCAGUAUAUGGAUCCUCUGGUAUAGGAACCUUCAGGGCAUUAAACUUCUUCUCAAAGUCAUCCACCAAGCCUGCUUUGGCCACAUUGCCAGGCUGGAGUGCAGUGGCGCAAUCUCAGCUCACCGCAACCUCCGCCUCCUGGGUUCAGGCAAUUCUCCUGCCUCAGCCUCCUGAGUAGCUGGGAUUACAGGCACACGCCACCAUGCCCAGCUAAUUUUUGCAUUUUUAGUAGAGAUGGGGUUUCACCUUGUUGACCAGGAUGGCCUUGAUCUCUUGGCCUCGUGGUCCACCCGCCUCGGCCUCCCAAAGUGCUGAGAUUAUAGGAGUGAGCCACCGCGCCCGGCCAGAACUCUUGGUUUCAAGCAAUCCUCUUGCCUCAGCCUCUCCACUAGCUGGGACGACAGGUACAUGCCACGACACCCAGCUAAUUGUUAAUUUUUUGUAGAGAUGAAAGUCUUGCUAUGUUGUCCAGGCUGACCUCAAACUCCUGGCCUCAGGCAAUUCUCUUUCCUCAGCCUCCUGAGUAGCUGGUACUACAGGCAUGAAUUACCACAUUCAGCUUUCCUCCUCUUUAUUUUUGCAGUUUUGUUGAAUGCUCCUACUAAGUGCUAAAUUAGAAUUUGCCAUAGUGCUCACUGAGGUGCCACUUUGGUGCACAGUCCUUGCUGUUACUCAGGAUGAGCUUCCUUUUGCGGGAAUUAAGACUUUAAUAAUGUCUCCUUUGUGCUUUCACCAGUUUAACGUCAGAGCCAAGCGUAAUUACAGCUCAGGCUGUUAAUGGAUUAGGUGGUGGCUUUUGCCGCCUUACUGUGUGCCUGUUUUCUUCCAUUUGGCUUUCUGCUGGCUCCCAUCAUCUCCUAAUUAUCUGUCCCCUCUUGGUUUGACUGCCUUGGAAGUAAUAAGAAUAUUAUCUGAAUCCAAAUUAAAUGUCUUUUUGCUUUAAGGAAAUGAAAAAGAGAGGUUUGUUUUUUGGUUUGGUUUUGCUUUGUGUUAGGAGUGGCACACUCUACUCCAGUCUAAUCAAACAGGAAAGAGAUAUAAAAGCAACUACAGUGUUCAAGCUCUGUGAAGGCAAAUAAGCCCAAGUCAGCUCUAGCCCUGCCUUGGAUGCAGGGGGCAUAUUCAGUCUCUUCUCCACCUCAGAGUAUCCACCUG